UUUCCAAUAGCAGUGCGCUAAAGUUUUCCGUGCAGAUUAAAAGAUUCUUUGUGUAGCUUAAAUAAAAAUAAACCAAUAAAAACAAAGACACUGUACUUUGUAAUAAGAAAAUGAAGUUAAUCCUCCUGAUUCUUUUCUUUGUGACUUCCACCUUCGGUCACGACUGCCCAGAAGAUCCGGAAGAAAUAGUUUUGUGGCCAGACCCUGAGGAUUGUUCUAAAUACUACAAAUGUACGCCAGAUGGGCCCAUUUCAGUCGAUUGUCCAGAAGGUCAUCAUUUUAAUACCGAAACAAAGGAUUGCGAUUGGCCAGAAGAAACUAAAUGUGAGGUGAAAAGCAACGAAAAUGAGGAAGCAAAACCAGAACCGGGAGAAAACGGAACAAGCAUGGGAUCAUGGCCUGAUCAUUCCCAACCAGAUGAUCAUCAUCACGAAGGAAGUGAUGAUUAUUCCAACAAUCAUGGAUUUAUCGGCGAAAUCUUUAACACUGUUGCAAAGAUGCUCAACAGUUUCUGGAAAGCGUUUUUUUGAAUGAUUUUUAACGGAUUUCAAAUGAAUUAAGAGAAAAUGCUAAUUGUGUGAAAUAAAAUAUAGAAUAGGGAGCAUGAAAACU